CUUCCGCUUUCAGAGAGAGAGAGAGAGAGUCCCCUGAGCUUCUGUGAGAAUUUGAAAGAGUCCAUUGAUCUUCUAUUAGAUUUGGGAGGCUUUUUUUUAGAUUAUAUCCCUCUGGUUCUUCUUUUUCAGAGCCGUGCUCUUUGUUUGUUAUUCCUCUGUUCGGUAGUUUUUCUCUGAGUUUAGUGAAGAGUUUUCUCUGAUUUUAACGAAGCUGAGAGAAUGAAAGCAAACCGUUCCUUAGGGAUUCUCAGAAGGGCUUAUGGAAGAGAUAACGUGAAUACUUUGGGGGAACUGAUAGUGAAAAUGCUUUCAAUAAGGCAGGAAGAUUUUAAUGGUGGAUGCGGGUGUAGUGGGUCUGGGUGCUUGGGAUGCAGCCCUCAGCCAUUAGGGUUUCUGCUCAGAGAAGGAGACCAUGAAGAAUAUAUUGACCUGGUUACUAACACCCUAGCAGUUGCUCAUGAGCUUCCUCAUCACUCACUACCCUUUCUCUCUCAAGUCCAAUGGCAACAGGAUCAGCUUGUUAUGAGAAUUAUAGAUAUGGAAGCUUGCUCGACAGGGUCACAGAAUGUGAUAUGUUUGGGUUAUGAAAAGUGGACUAAUUUCAGCCCUGUCAUGAGUAUUAUGAGUUCUAGAGCUUGGAUCCAACUAUUGUCAAGGAUUGGUGAUUCUUACAUGGUUCAUAUUCUUAGGCAUGUAUCUAUAUUCCUUCCACUUUCUGGUGGGAAUCUCCUGCAGAUGACUGGUCCUCCAAUUAGUAAUUCUCAGCAGCUUGUCAAGGGCACAGCUUCUAUCAGCUAUGUAUCACAACUGAACAUUGAGAAUCGUGGCGUAAAUUUGGGCAUGCUUGUCAAAUCUGAUUGUGGGUUGAAGGAUCGAGCUGGUGUAAAACGAAAAAGGGAUACUACUACCCUGCAACUCAAUAGUUCUUUUGGCACUUGUCCCUCCUCGGUUUCAGAGACUACCACGAUUGACAACAAACAAAGAAAGCGCAAAAGACCAUUUAGUUUUCAAAGGAGGAAGCUGCAUGGAAAGGGAUUCUGUCCUUCACAUGAUGAAGACAUUUCUGCUACUACAAUAACAUCUAGCAGGCCAGGUUUUCCUAUUGAAGAGGUGGAGAUGAGAUGCUUUUGCUCCUUGGUAUGGAAAGUAAAUCAAAGAGUUUCAAGUAUGACUAAAAUUGAUAGACAAGGUCUCCUCCAUGAUCCUAGUGUCUCUCCUUGUGCUGUUUUUCCUCCAGGUCAUAUCUUGAACAAGUUGAAGCCUAACAGAUCAGGUGCAAUUUCCCUUAUCAAGCUUAUCUUCAGCCUACCUGAUGAUUUUGAUUCACACGUCAACUAUGUUAGUGAUUGUCCCUUUGGAUCACCCUUACUCCAUACACUUAUGAAGUUUCUGAAAAUUCUCAUACACAAUGCACAGCGAUGUCAGUAUCAAAUUCUACUGAGAAGACACUGCCCUCUUCCAAUUGUUAAAAAAAACAGAAAAAAGUUAUCUGACUCUUUCAUAGGUGAAAAAGGUGGAACUCCGUUCCAGCUGUCACAAAGGGCUAGACCUCUGCGAGAAUCCUCUAGGGAAGUCAUUUGUAAUACAAAUGAAAUUUGUUCCGAGAAGACUCCAAAGUUGGCAGGUGAGCAAUCCAAGUUGAAUGGAUCAUAUAGUAAAUAUGAACAGGUAGCUUCAUUUGUAUGGGCUGUUUGUCGGAGUGUGAUUCCAGUAGAAUUACUUGGGUCUUCUAAGAAUUGGAGGUCUUUGAAAAGAAAUAUUGCUAAGUUUGUACAGCUAAGGAGAUUUGAGAACUUUAACCUUCAGCAGUGCAUGUUCCAGCUCAAAUUAUCUUGCUUCCCCUGGUUGUCUAAAAGAACCACUACUACGUCCUGCUGUACUUGCACAGAAACUUUUAUUGAUAGUCAUACUACAAGAAGUGGACCACCAGAACUUUUUAAUGGAUUGCAGGGCCUUCAAGAUGUUGUCACGAAAAGAAAAUUGCGAACUUUGCAUAAAAAGCUGUUAGAUUGUUGGGUCUAUUGGAUCUUUUCAUCUUUUGUAGUACCUCUUUUACGUGCACAUUUUUAUGUGACGGAGAGCCAAUGGGGCAGGCAAAAAGUUUUCUAUUAUAGGAAAUCAGUUUGGAGACAAAUAACAAAGAAAGGAAUUGAUUGUUUGAAAGAAAACAAUUUUGAAGUUUUCACUUCAACAUCACAAGAGGAGAUUUUCCUUGAAAGGUCACUUGGAUUUUCGAGGUUGAGGUUUAUCCCCAAAGACGAUGGAGUUAGGCCUAUCUCACAUCUUAGCGCACCUUGUAAAGCUCGUCUCCCUCUUCGGAAGUCAUGCCCUGAAGAUAGUUAUCUCAGAAGAAAGAAAGUGAUUGCAAAGUCUGGGAAUCCCCAAAGAAGGGAUUCAAGAUUGAAAUCCAAUGGAAUUUCUUUCAAAUCUGUUAAUUUUGUUCUUCGUGAUGUGCAUUCCCUCUUGAAAGCUAUAAUGGUUGGACAUCAAGAACAAUUGGGUUCCUCAGUUUUUGAUUAUAAUGAUGUUUAUAAGCAACUUGUCCCAUUCAUUUCUAGUUUGAGAUUGGGAUCAAUGUCUUUGCCAAAGCUGUAUAUCAUUGUUAGUGAUGUCUCUAAAGCGUUUGAUGCAAUUGAUCAAGACAAACUUUUUGGUAUUAUGGAGUGGAUUUUGAAUAAAGAUGAAUAUCCUCUAGAACAAUAUAAAAAAGUUUCAUGCACGAGGAGGUCCUUAAAAUUUCGUAAAGAAGUUAUGAUCAAGGAAAGCAACGAUAGAGGUUUUAUGCACUCAGCAGCAAUUGUUGGCAUGAGUACUUCACGAUGUGGCCUGAUUUAUCAGGGAUCUACUAUAAUGAAACGGGAAAAGCUUCUCCUUCUUCUCCAUGAACAUCUGAAGGGAAAUAUUUUGAAAUUGGGUUCUGAUUUCUAUUUACAGAAAGUUGGUAUAGCCCAAGGAAGCAUCUUGUCAUCCUUGCUUUGUUCAUUCUAUUAUGGUCAUCUCGAAAGAAACACCAUUUUUCCAUUGCUCGAAAAUCAUGAAUAUCAAAGGAAUGUAUGCAGAGGUCCCAUUUUCCAUAAGUAUUUACUACUCCGAUUUGUUGAUGAUUUUAUUUUUAUAUCGACUUCUGAAGAGCAAGCAACUCACUUGUUUUCGAGCUUUCGUAAGGGCUUCCAAGGUUACAAUUGCUUUAUGAAUGAGGAAAAAUUUUGUUCUAAUUUUGGUUCAGAAAUCUCAAAAGAUUUCUCAAUGCAAGUUGCUUAUACUGGUGUGGAUGGUAACUCAUUUAUUCGUUGGAGUGGUUUGCUGCUAAACUGUCAAACAAUGGAAAUCUUGGCAGACUACAUGAGGUAUUGGGGUACACAUAUAAGCUCAACUGUCACUGUGUGGCGACAAGCAAAACCAGGCUCUCACUUGAAGGGGAAAUUAUGUGAUUAUAUGAGACCCAAAUGCCAUGCAUUAUUCUAUGACUCUAAUAUCAACUCUUCACCCGUAGUAAGAUUGAAUGCAUACCAGGCCUUCCUUCUUUGCGCAAUGAAGUUCCACUGUUAUGUUCGAUCCUUGCAGAAGAUUCCUGGCCUCUGCCCAAGAUAUUACAUGAAGAUAAUCUUGAGAUCCUUCAGAUACAUGUACAUGCUUAUCAAGAGGAGAAUGCAUACUAUCUCUCGCAUGACGGAUAUAAAUCCUGUAUUUCAAUUGAAAAAGAAAGAAGUUGAAUGGCUUGGACUGUCUGCAUACAUUCGUAUUCUGAAUAAGAAGCAUGCAUUGUAUGCGGAGCUACUUUGCAUGUUGAGAUCUAAACUGAGAAGUUAUGGACAUAUGGAUAAGGUCUCACCUGACUUAUGCUAUGCAGUUGAUGAUUCUCACUCCUCCAUUCUUUGGAAAAUCAAGUAUUAAAUGGAGAAAGAAGAAAUUAGAAUUGAUGAGAAUAGUUUUCAAUUAAACGAAUGGAAAUUAAAAGAAGAGCAAGUUGAAUUAGUUAAUGCGUCUGGAUUGGGUCCCUUGUCUAUCAUUCGGCCAUACCGAAUUGAUCAUCCUUUGGUCUCAGCCAAUGUAGAGAGGUGGCGUUCUGAGACCAACACAUUUCAUUUCAACAUUCAUAUUGGUGAGAUGACACCAACGCUAUUUGAUGUAUACGAGAUAUUAGGACUGACUGUGGAUGGCGAGCCAAUUACAUGUCGUCCUAUCAGUGACCUGCUAUAUUAUAUAGAAGAAAAUUUGGGUAUAGUCCCUGAUGGCAACCUGACAAGCCUGAGGCAUCCAUGGUUGAAGGUGAAUUUUAGGGAAUUGCCACCUGAUGCAACCCUUAUUCAAGUUUAUAGAUAUACUCGAGCAUAUCUGCUCUUCCUCAUCAGUGUCACCAUAUUCGCUGAUGUAUCAGUUUCAACAGUGCCAACAAGGUACUUGUAGUUUUUUGAAGAUAUUGAGGGAGCCAGCAAAUAUGCUUGGGAUGCUGCAGCCCUUGCAUUCCUCUAUCGCUCACUGGGAACAGCUUGUACAUUCAAGCGAAGACAUUUUAGUGGUUCAACCACUCUCAUGCAGGGCCAAAAGAUGGGAGCCCUCGAAGAAAUAUCAUGGCAAUCCACAUAACAUAAUGCCUCCCAUCAGACAAGAAUUUGAUAACCUCCAACCUAAUGAUGUAGGAGGCAUUUGAAACUGCAAUGUGCCUAAAGCUGUACAUGCCAGAUCGAGUACGGCGGCAAUUUGGAGCUAAACAUGGCAUUCCUAGAAAUCCCUUGGUUGUUGGUAAGAGGGCUAGCAGACAAGGUGGAUAUCAAAAUUGGCGAAGUGUGAAUGCAGAUAAAAUCCACCACUGGUUGUCUUGCCAUGAGUGCUUGAUGCAUGAUAUUCAAGUAGAUACUGACAAUGGGUUGCCCUCAGAGGACUACAAGGAAUGGUACAACCUAGUGUCCCAUCCUCUAAUACAUAAUGUCGCUAACCCACCCAAAGCUAUAUUGCAACCUCAUAACUAGGAAGAAGAAGCAAAAUAUGUGGUUCCUGCUCAUGAACCACAAUAUAUAAUGAGACCUCGAGGUUAUGAGAACCAGUUGGUUAAUGCAGUUCAAGCAUCUACAGUCAUGUUAGCAGAGGCACUUACACUUGGACAAAAGUGGUAUCCAGAAGUUUAUAAUCGUGUUAACAACGAAUUUGAAACGUUGUCUAAGUUUGUGCCUGUUGAUAUGGAUGACAUAGAAGCCAGGAUGACAAGUUUACAACUUGAAUAUCAUAACAAAGGUGUACCUAAUGAGGCCGGACAUGAUGGAGUGGGUGAAAGUAGUCGAGUUAUAAAAGACCUAGCUACAUCCACAAAACCAGCAGUUGAGGAGCCUAGAAGAUAUAACACAAGAAAGAAACAGUAUCAGUCUAAGAGAAGGCGACCAAUGUAAUGGAGUCUUGACCCUUGUAAUUUUGUUCAUAUCUUCAUUUUGAAUAUUUUGGAACAAUUAAUUUGUUCAUUUUG